CUGCACUCUCUGUCCCUUCCCUUUGCCCGGGAAGGGAUUUUCGAGCCGCGGGCCAGCUGAUGCACGCUGCGCUCCGCGGCUCUGACACUUCCCCAGCUGGACGGCUAAAAGCUAGCCGCCAUCGCCAUCGCCUCACACCGGAAGCUCCUAAUUAAAAUUAUU